UGACCGCUGGCGGCGUGCCUACUACAUGCACUUCGAGCGACCAGACGAGGAGCUUGCUCCUCUGACGUUAGCGGCGGACGGGUGAGUAACACGUGGAUAACCUACCUAUAAGACUGGGAUAACUUCGGGAAACCGGAGCUAAUACCGGAUAAUAUAUUGAACCGCAUGGUUCAAUAGUGAAAGACGGUUUUGCUGUCACUUAUAGAUGGAUCCGCGCCGCAUUAGCUAGUUGGUAAGGUAACGGCUUACCAAGGCAACGAUGCGUAGCCGACCUGAGAGGGUGAUCGGCCACACUGGAACUGAGACACGGUCCAGACUCCUACGGGAGGCAGCAGUAGGGAAUCUUCCGCAAUGGGCGAAAGCUUGACGGAGCAACGCCGCGUGAGUGAUGAAGGUCUUCGGAUCGUAAAACUCUGUUAUUAGGGAAGAACAAAUGUGUAAGUAACUAUGCACGUCUUGACGGUACCUAAUCAGAAAGCCACGGCUAACUACGUG
rnacentral:rRNA from 1 species